GACGAACGCUGGCGGCGUGCUUAACACAUGCAAGUCGAACGGAAAGGCCCUGCUUGCAGGGUACUCGAGUGGCGAACGGGUGAGUAACACGUGGGUGAUCUGCCCUGCACUUCGGGAUAAGCCUGGGAAACUGGGUCUAAUACCGGAUAGGAGCCAUUUUUAGUGUGAUGGUUGGAAAGUCUUUUUCGGUGUAGGAUGAGCUCGCGGCCUAUCAGCUUGUUGGUGGGGUAAUGGCCUACCAAGGCGGCGACGGGUAGCCGGCCCGAGAGGGUGGACGGCCACAUUGGGACUGAGAUACGGCCCAGACUCCUACGGGAGGCAGCAGUGGGGAAUAUUGCACAAUGGGCGCAAGCCUGAUGCAGCGACGCCGCGUGGGGGAUGACGGCCUUCGGGUUGUAAACUCCUUUCGCUAGGGACGAAGCUUUUUGUGACGGUACCUAGAUAAGAAGCACCGGCUAACUACGUG
rnacentral:rRNA from 1 species